GAAAGAGUUAAAAGAUAUGUUUAAUUCAGGUAUUGCUACCAACUGUUAUUGGCAGUGGUUUAGCUAGAUUAACAAUGAUGUGUUUUGGUUUAACUGCAAAUUUGCAUAAUUUGCAUAAUUUGCAUGAUUUGCAUAAAUUUGCAUAAUGGUUGAAUAUUGGUUUAAAACAAUAUACAUGUACAAGUAUCUACAUGUGGUUGUUGUUGUGAUGCUAUAAUUCUUAAAAUUAAGAUUAUAGGUUAAAUGAUAUUUCAGGUAAAUUUGUAUAGAAAACUUAGAACAAUUUCUUGCAAAAUUGACACUUCUGUUUUUUAGUUAAAGGGAUCUUAUCACCUCUUUGAUGAAGUUGAGUUAACUGAAUGUAAUACAGUGUACAUAGUGAAUGUUAGUUUAAAUGUUCAGUAAAGCUUCACAUUUAGGGGACCGGGAUGUCGUGUGUAGAAAGCCCUUUUGGUUAGAUUUAGGCAAGACUGUGACGUCACUAGCGAUAAAUAAGAAGCUAGUACUGAUUUGGCCGCUUGGAGGCGCUGUUAGGCGUGCUGCUAAUUUCCCUGUUUCGGAAAUGUUAUGUUAACCGGAGAUGCCAUUGAUAUUUGUCUAAUUUCGAUACAAGCCCAAUGAUAUUGAACCUGCAUUGUUUGCACGGUAUCUUCAUGGUUUGUCAAGUUCUGUCGUCGAUGGUGUCGAGGUGUUUUGGAAGUCACA